GCUUUCAUAGCUCAAAUGGCUAGAGCACCCGCUUGGUAAGCUGGAGGUCAAAGUAACUCUCAUUGAAUGCA
rfam:Picea glauca, whole genome shotgun sequence.